ensembl:rRNA 5S_rRNA 5S ribosomal RNA
GUCUACAGUCAUAGCACCCUGAAUGCGCCCCAUCUGGUCUGAGCUUGGAAGCUAAGCAGGGUUAGUUACCAGGUUAAGUACCUGGUUAGUACUUGGAUGGGAGGCCACUGGCUUCUGGAAAGG